CUGGGAAAAGGCUCACAAAUGACCAGUUUAUUCUACAGUAGAUACAGGACAUUAAAUUGACUUCAACAUCGCAGAUAUCUCUCAAAAAUGAUAUCUGUUCGAGUGAUGUACUGGGCGUUAACAGUUGCUGUUACAAAUCUGCAAAUGAGUUAGAACUGUACAUAAGUUUGAUGAAUGCCGGAGGAAUUUUUUGAAUAAAAUGAUACUGAAAAUCACCCAUAAAUGACAAUUUCAAGAUACAAUCAAUAGUACUUAGAUUGAUUGGCCUUCAUUACCAUUGCCCUAUGAAAAUGGCAAUACAAAUUGAUAUUAAUGGACGUUUUGACAGCUGUUUCCCGUC